rnacentral:lncRNA from 1 species
AACAAAUAAAAAAAAAAAAUAAUAUUGAUAGUAAAAUAAUGGCUUGGACUGCAGUACUCAGUAUAAAUUUUUUUUAUACUCAUAAAUUUUUUAUCGUUGGAUAAAUAGAUGUGCAGUUACUAAGUUGAUAGUGGUUCUUUAGAAUUGAGUGGAUGAUUGGUUGAAUAAUAUGAUUAAACUGAUAAAAAUGAUUAAAAUGAUAGAUCUAACGGCCGAAAACAUAUGAGUAUAAAAAAGUCUAUACUCAUAAAAGUAUAAUAACAAAACUCGUAAAAUAAUAUUUAUUAUUGUUAUCAUCAAGGCACAUAAAGUAUAUUUUAUCGUAUAUUAAAAUCUCCUUGCUCUUCUGAUAGUAGUAAAUAUUAUUUUUGCAAAUACAAGUUUCUAAAUAUAUAUAUAUGGAGAGAGAGAGAGAGCAGGGCUGUUGUGCUCUCAGGAGCACGGAGGUCUUCGUGCUCCUGAGCCGUUUUCGAUGAUGGAAUUUCUGAAUCGACGAUCGGCUCGGCUAGACUUGAUCUAGCAUAUUUGAAGUUUCUAGGAAAUAAUUUUUGCAAUUUUUCGAUAUUAUUUACCUAGCAAUCGAAAGGAUUCAAAAUCAAUAAUUUUUUACGGCUGAAAAUAAAAAUCCUAUAAAAAGUGAUGAUAUAGCACUAAAAUUUUCGAUCAGAAAUAUUGAUCUUGUUGUAGAUAGUAUAAAGAAUUUUGUAUCAAAAUUUCAUCUGAUUUGAAUACUUCUACACCGUUAAACUUGAAAACGGCAGAUAUCAAUCAUUAAAAAUUAUUGAUUUUGAAUCCUUUCGAUCACUAGGUAAAUGAUAUCAAAAAAUCGCAAAAAUUAUUUUUUACAAACUUCAAAUACCCAGAUCAAGUCUAACGGAGUCAAUCGUCGAUUCGGAAAUUCUAUCAUCGAAAACGGCUCAGGAGCACGGAGGCUUCCGUGCUCCUGAGAGCACAGCAGCCCUACUAUAUAUAUAUAUAUAUAUAUAGUUGGACUGGGCUACUAUUAGUAGUAAAAUCUCAUUGUUGCUACCAGUUUUUUAGCCUUUGGAUCAACUUUUUUCAUUAUUUCUAACCAUUGGAUUAAAUACAACCCAGUGGGGACCACUCAAUCCUAGGGGGACCACUCAACUCUAACCGACUAAUAUCAUCCUGAGCUUACAAUUUUUAAUCUAAAGGUUAAAAACUUGAUAGCAAAAAGAGCGUUUUACUAUUAAUAGUAUUCCAGCCUAAUUCUAUAUAUAUAUAUAUAUACCAAAAUACAAAGUAAUAUAGUACUUAACCUUUGAUUCCUCCACAUUAAAAUUUU